rnacentral:lncRNA from 1 species
GAAAUUCUAAUGUUAUUAUUGGGCUUCUUGAUCCCUCUCUCAUUGCUCCUCCCGAAUUUGCCUCUAUGUAUGUUUUCUUCCUAAUUAACCACGUGUUUAAAUUUGUUUCUAUAUUGUCUAUAUUUCUAUCAACCUCGACUAAAUCCGACGGAUAUCUGGCACCAACACCACGACCACUGACUAUGUUAUUUUGUCCACCAAGCCGAAAAUAGGUCAGAAGAAGUGAG